GGGGGUUAGCGUUGUUCGGAAUUACUGGGCGUAAAGCGCACGUAGGCGGAUUAGUAAGUUAGAGGUGAAAUCCCAGGGCUCAACCCUGGAACUGCCUUUAAUACUGCUAGUCUUGAGUUCGAGAGAGGUAAGUGGAAUUCCGAGUGUAGAGGUGAAAUUCGUAGAUAUUCGGAGGAACACCAGUGGCGAAGGCGGCUUACUGGCUCGAUACUGACGCUGAGGUGCGAAAGUGUGGGGAGCAAACAGGAUUAGAUACCCUGGUAGUCCACACCGUAAACGCUGUCUACUAGCUGUUUGUGAAUUUAAUCCGUGAGUAGCGAAGCUAACGCGAUAAGUAGACCGCCUGGGGAGUACGGCCGCAAGGUUAAAACUCAAAUGAAUUGACGGGGGCCCGCACAAGCGGUGGAGCAUGUGGUUUAAUUCGAUGCAACGCGAAGAACCUUACCUACUCUUGACAUACUAGAAACUUUUCAGAGAUGAAUUGGUGCCUUCGGGAAUCUAGAUACAGGUGCUGCAUGGCU
rnacentral:rRNA from 1 species